AGGUUUGUCUCAGAAACACUCAACCCAAGCAUUCUGUUAGAAGGAAAAGGCCAGCAAAGAAUGAGUCCAUUCCCAUGCUCUGACAGUAAUAUUAGCCAAUAGGCUAAUUCAUCAGGAAGUACAACCACAAGCUGCCGUCUCUUCUCCUUUGAGAUGCAGUUGAAGGUUAAACUGUGUUGAUAUCAGCUGGCUGAUGUGGAUUGAAAAGUCUACUAAGGAGAAGUGGGCAGAUGGUAGUGACUGGGGCAAAAUCAUUCUUGGAACUGAUUGAGUUUUUCAAUGAAGAGAGGACCUAGCAAUUUACCUUCUUGUCAUCAGGUCUGAGCUGACUCUUAGAGCUCCACAAAUCUUUCUCUACUGUCCCACAGCCAUGGAGACUAUUUAAGGCAUGCGCCUGGUGAGACCAGAGGUUGCCUUUCCAGAACCUUUCAUGGAAUUGUUACCUGAAUUUUUGAACUCUCCUUUGUGACACCAGGUCUGAUUAUAAGUUGCGAGCUCAUAUGAGUAGAAUGGUGUGAACCCCCAGCAACUUUGUCAAUGACACCAAGCUGUGUGGUGUCGUUGACAUGCUGGACGGAAGGGAUGCCAUUCAGAGGGACCUGGACAGGCUUGAGAGGUGGGCCUGUGUGAACCUCGUGGAGUUCAACAAGGCCAAGUGCAAACUCAUGGACUGAGAUUAACAAGGAAACAGAGACUGACACCAUUUACUACAAGCAGACUUGUGCCAACUUCCAAUUUCUGAAAUAGAAAAAUCAGUCUGAGGAUCUGGGAGAGAAAAUGAAGCAAUUAACAAGUAAAUUGAUUCCAACUGAUCUACUUGGAAAAGUGGCCAUCACUUCUCAGACCUUAGAAGAGCUUUGUUGUUGUCCACAAUUUACAUUGUCUGAUGCCAUUUAGUUACAAUAUUUAUAGGUAAUGUAAGUAUGUAAAUCU